ACAAACCCACAACAAAACAAACACAAUCUGGUAAAAUAACAACUGUCAAACACAAAACCAACAUACUCAAAAACCUGAAAAAUAAACCAGGAUUAGAUACCCUGUUAUACCAGAAACAAUUAACCUGAAGGUAGUAACUGAUACAAACACAAAACCUAAAGGAUUUGGCGGUGUUUUCACAUUUAAGGAACCUGUCCAUUAAACGUCACCACACGAUAAACCUCACCUCUUCUAUACCUGUAUACCGCCGUAACACUAAACAUAUGUAAAUCUUACUAAAACCACUAACAAAUAAACUCAACAGGCCUUGGUGCAGUAUCUAUAGGAUCGGAUAGGUUACAAUAUACAAACAAUGCAGAUUAAAACUCAAAUAACUUUAACCAAGAUGGAUUAAACAGUAACCACACAUCAGAAUAGUGUAGCGAACUCUACAAAAACACGCACACAUCGCCCGUCGGGCUCUUA
rnacentral:rRNA from 1 species